AAUGAACGCUGGCGGCAUGCCUAACACAUGCAAGUCGAACGACAGCACAGGGAGCGCUUGCGCUUACGGGUGGCGAGUGGCGGAAGGGUGAUGAAUGCAUCGGAAUCCUCUUAUUCGUGUGGGAUAACGUAGGGAGAUUUAUGCUAACACAUCAUAUAUCGUACGGGUGAAAGCAGGGGUUCUUCGGGCUUUUCGUGGUGGUAAGAGCCGACGUCGGAUUAGCUAGUUGGCUGGGUAAAGGCCCGGCUAGGCCACGAUACGUAGCUGAUCCGAGAGGGUGAUCCGCCACACUGGAACUGAGACACGGCCCCGACUCCUACGGGAGGCCGCAGUGGGGAAUCUUACGCAAGGGGGGAAAGCCUGAUCCAGCCAAACCGCGUGAGUGAUGAAGGACUUCGGGUUGGAAAGCCCUUUUGUUGGGAAAGAAAAAAAGCAGGUUUAUACCCCACUGUUCUGACGGUACCCAAAGAAUAAGCACCAGCUAACUUCGUG
rnacentral:rRNA from 1 species